rnacentral:rRNA from 1 species
CAGUGGGGAAUAUUGCACAAUGGGCGCAAGCCUGAUGCAGCCAUGCCGCGUGUNUGAAGAAGGCCUUCGGGUUGUAAAGCACUUUCAGUCGUGAGGAAGGNNGUGUNGUUAAUAGCGGCAUUNUUUGACGUUAGCGACAGAAGAAGCACCGGCUAACUCCGUGCCAGCAGCCGCGGUAAUACGGAGGGUGCGAGCGUUAAUCGGAAUUACUGGGCGUAAAGCGCAUGCAGGUGGUUUGUUAAGUCAGAUGUGAAAGCCCGGGGCUCAACCUCGGAAUAGCAUUUGAAACUGGCAGACUAGAGUACUGUAGAGGGGGGUAGAAUUUCAGGUGUAGCGGUGAAAUGCGUAGAGAUCUGAAGGAAUACCGGUGGCGAAGGCGGCCCCCUGGACAGAUACUGACACUCAGAUGCGAAAGCGUGGGGAGCAAACAGGAUUAGAUACCCUGGUAGUCCACGCCGUAAACGAUGUCUACUUGGCC